GGUAGUCCACGCUGUAAACGAUGUCGAUUUGGAGGUUGUGCCCUUGAGGCGUGGCUUCCGGAGCUAACGCGUUAAAUCGACCGCCUGGGGAGUACGGCCGCAAGGUUAAAACUCAAAUGAAUUGACGGGGGCCCGCACAAGCGGUGGAGCAUGUGGUUUAAUUCGAUGCAACGCGAAGAACCUUACCUACUCUUGACAUCCAGAGAACUUAGCAGAGAUGCUUUGGUGCCUUCGGGAACUCUGAGACAGGUGCUGCAUGGCUGUCGUCAGCUCGCGUUGUGAAAUGUUGGGUUAAGUCCCGCAACGAGCGCAACCCUUAUCCUUUGUUGCCAGCGGUUCGGCCGGGAACUCAAAGGAGACUGCCAGUGAUAAACUGGAGGAAGGUGGGGAUGACGUCAAGUCAUCAUGGCCCUUACGAGUAGGGCUACACACGUGCUACAAUGGCAUAUACAAAGAGAAGCGACCUCGCGAGAGCAAGCGGACCUCAUAAAGUAUGUCGUAGUCCGGAUUGGAGUCUGCAACUCGACUCCAUGAAGUCGGAAUCGCUAGUAAUCGUAGAUCAGAAUGCUACGGUGAAUACGUUCCCGGGCCUUGUACACACCGCCCGUCACACCAUGGGGAGUGGGUUGCAAAAGAAGUAGGUAGCUUAACCUUCGGGAGGGCGCUUACCACUUUGUGAUUCAUGACUGGGG
rnacentral:rRNA from 1 species